rnacentral:lncRNA from 1 species
GCUAACCUCAACUCUCCUAAGUACUAGAUCUCAAGGUGGAAGUAUUUUUCCUUCACUCUGGCAUUGUAGUAGCGUGCGGCAUGCUAUCAGUAUGCCGCCAUCCAAAUUCGUGCCUUCUCCUGAAUUUUUUCUAGGAGAUUCAAAUUUGCUCACAAAUCUUUCGAGUUCUUCUGCACGUCAAAGAUCUUUACUCGAUAUAAGGGUAGGUCU